ACAAGCAGCGGAGCGUGUGGUUUAAUUCUUGCUACACGAAGAACCUUACCUGGGUUUGACAUAUAGGUUGUAGGGAACUGAAAAGGGACCGACCUUCGGGGAGCCUAUACAAGUGUUGCAUGGCUGUCGUCAGCUCGUGUCGUGAGAUGUUCGGUUAAGUCCGCUAACGAGCGCAACCCUCGUCGUAUGUUAUAUGUGUCACACGGGACUGCCGGUAUCAAGCCGGAGGAAGGUGGGGAUGACGUCAAGUCAGCAUGGCCUUUAUGUCUGGGGCUACACACACGCUACAAUGGCCAGUACAAUAGGUUGCAAGACCGCGAGGUGGAGCCAAUCCAUAAAGCUGGUCUCAGUUCGGAUUGCAGGCUGCAACUCGCCUGCAUGAAGUCGGAGUUGCUAGUAACCGCGCGUCAGCUAUAGUGCGGUGAAUACGUUCCCGGGCCUU
rnacentral:rRNA from 1 species